UUUAACGGAGAGUUUGAUCCUGGCUCAGGACGAACGCUGGCGGCGGGCCUAACACAUGCAAGUCGAACGAACUCGACCUUCGGGUCAUAGAGUGAGUGGCGAACGGGUGAGUAACACGUGAGAAACCUGCCCCGAAGACUGGAACAACCCGAGGAAACUCGGGCUAAUACCGGAUAUCCCCAUCGGAUCGCAUGAUCUGGUGAGGAAAUGCUCCGGCGCUUCGGGAGGGUCUCGCGGCCUAUCAGCUAGUUGGUGAGGUAACGGCUCACCAAGGCAACGACGGGUAGCUGGUCUGAGAG
rnacentral:rRNA from 1 species